rnacentral:rRNA from 1 species
GAUCCUGGCUCAGGAUGAACGCUAGCUACAGGCUUAACACAUGCAAGUCGAGGGGCAGCAUGGUCUUAGCUUGCUUCCGAUGGCGUCGACCGGCGCACGGGUGAGUAACGCGUAUCCAACCUGCCCACCACUUGGGGAUAACCUUGCGAAAGUAAGACUAAUACCCAAUGAUAUCUCUAGAAGACAUCUGAAAGAGAUUAAAGAUUUAUCGGUGAAUGGAUGGGAUGCGGU